GUUGUCCUCUAGGUGAUGAGAGAGGACAGAUGUGGAGUCAGAGAGACAGGUUGUCCUCUAGGUGAUGAGAGAGAGGACAGAUGUGGAGUC